AAACUUCAUUCCUGGCUUUGGUUGCAUGGACCAGAACAAGCAUAAGGAGUGGAGACUUUGGAGAAGCACAGAAAUUAAAGGGAGCAGUACAGAAUGGAUACACCUGAAAACAAGAGCUGAAGGAAAAGUUAAUCAUCGCUGAACAAUUCCUGUGAAUGUGCAUCUCUGCUUGAAGUUGGUAAAUGCUAUUUGAAUAUGAUAUCAGCCCUCACUGGUACCUCCAUCAUUUCUGUUUUAAAACAAAAUCAGCAUUAAAGUUCAAAAACAGAUGAAUUUGGAGAUUCCUGACUCAGCUGAAAACAAAAACUGAAG